rnacentral:rRNA from 1 species
UGCAAGUCGAACGGCAGCACAGUAAGAGCUUGCUCUUAUGGGUGGCGAGUGGCGGACGGGUGAGGAAUACAUCGGAAUCUACUUUUUCGUGGGGGAUAACGUAGGGAAACUUACGCUAAUACCGCAUACGACCUACGGGUGAAAGCAGGGGACCUUCGGACCUUGCGCGAUUGAAUGAGCCGAUGUCGGAUUAGCUAGUUGGCGGGGUAAAGGCCCACCAAGGCGACGAUCCGUAGCUGGUCUGAGAGGAUGAUCAGCCACACUGGAACUGAGACACGGUCCAGACUCCUACGGGAGGCAGCAGUGGGGAAUAUUGGACAAUGGGCGCAAGCCUGAUCCAGCCAUACCGCGUGGGUGAAGAAGGCCUUCGGGUUGUAAAGCCCUUUUGUUGGGAAAGAAAUCCAGCCGGUUAAUACCUGGUUGGGAUGACGGUACCCAAAGAAUAAGCACCGGCUAACUUCGUGCCAGCAGCCGCGGUAAUACGAAGGGUGCAAGCGUUACUCGGAAUUACUGGGCGUAAAGCGUGCGUAGGUGGUUGUUUAAUUCUGUUGUGAAAGCCCUGGGCUCAACCUGGGAACUGCAGUGGAAACUGGACAACUAGAGUGUGGUAGAGGGUAGCGGAAUUCUUUGUGUA